rnacentral:rRNA from 1 species
AACGAACGCUGGCGGCAGGCCUAACACAUGCAAGUCGAACGCACCGCAAGGUGCGUGGCGCACGGGUGAGUAACACGUGGGAAUGUAUCCUUUGGUUCGGAAUAACGUCUGGAAACGGACGCCAACACCGGAUGAGCCGUUAGGGGGAAAGAUUUACCGCCGAAGGAGCAGCCCGCGUCCGCGUAGGUAGUUGGUGGGGUAAUGGCCUACCAAGGCGACGACCCAUAGCUGGUCUGAGAGGAUGAUCAGCCACAUUGGGACUGAGACACGGCCCAGACUCCUACGGGAGGGCGCAGUGGGGAAUGGUGGACAAUGGGCGCAAGCCUGAUCCAGCCAUGCCGCGUGAGUGAUGAAGGCCUUAGGGUUGUAGAGCUCUUUCACCGGAGAAGAUAAUGACGGUAUCCGGAGAAGAAGCCCCGGCUAACUUCGUGCCAGCCGCCGCGGUAACAC